rnacentral:rRNA from 1 species
GGCGCACGGGUNAGUAACACGUAAGUAAUCUACCUUUGAGUGGGGAAUAACGUCCGGAAACGGACGCUAAUACCGCAUAAUGCAGCGGCAUCGCAAGAUGACAGUUGUUAAAGAUUUAUCGCUUGAAGAGGAGCUUGCGGCAGAUUAGCUAGUUGGUAAGGUAAUGGCUUACCAAGGCUACGAUCUGUAACCGGUCUAAGAGGACGGUCGGUCACACUGACACUGAACAACGGGUCAGACUCCUACGGGAGGCAGCAGUCGGGAAUUUUGGGCAAUGGGCGAAAGCCUGACCCAGCAACGCCGCGUGAAGGAUGAAGUAUUUCGGUAUGUAAACUUCGAAAGAAUGGGAAGAAUAAAUGACGGUACCAUUUAUAAGGUCCGGCUAACUCCGUGCCAGCAGCCGCGGUAAUACGGAGGGUGCAAGCGUUAAUCGGAAUUACUGGGCGUAAAGCGCACGCAGGCGGUCUGUCAAGUCGGAUGUGAAAUCCCCGGGCUCAACCUGGGAACUGCAUUCGAAACUGGCAGGCUAGAGUCUUGUAAGGGGGGUAGAAUUCCAGGUGUAGCGGUGAAAUGCGUAGAGAUCUGGAGGAAUACCGGUGG